rnacentral:rRNA from 1 species
CCUACGGGAGGCAGCAGUGAGGAAUAUUGGUCAAUGGGCGCGAGCCUGAACCAGCCAAGUAGCGUGAAGGAUGACUGCCCUACGGGUUGUAAACUUCUUUUAUAAAGGAAUAAAGUGAGGCACGUGUGCCUUUUUGUAUGUACUUUAUGAAUAAGGAUCGGCUAACUCCGUGCCAUCAGCCGCGGUAAUACGGAGGAUCCGAGCGUUAUCCGGAUUUAUUGGGUUUAAAGGGAGCGUAGAGGGGUUGUUAAGUCAGGUGUGAAAGUUUGAGGCUCAACCGUAAAAUUGCAAUUGAUACUGGCAGACUUGAGUACAGUUGAGGUAGGCGGAAUUCGUGGUGUAGCGGUGAAAUGCGUAGAUAUCACGAAGAACUCCGAUUGCGAAGGCAGCUUACUAAACUGCCACUGACACUGAGGCUCGAAAGUGUGGGGAUCAAACAGGAUUAGAUACCCCAGUAGUC